GGCUCGGUAGCGGAUGGUCCGCGUCUGCUUCAAAUAUCUAAUUUCCAAGGGUCGCUGGAUCCCGCCUGUUCGAAUCAGGCCCGAGCCA